GUGGGGAAUCUUGCGCAAUGGGCGAAAGCCUGACGCAGCCAUGCCGCGUGAAUGAUGAAGGUCUUAGGAUUGUAAAAUUCUUUCACCGGGGACGAUAAUGACGGUACCCGGAGAAGAAGCUCCGGCUAACUUCGUGCCAGCAGCCGCGGUAAUACGAAGGGGGCUAGCGUUGCUCGGACUUACUGGGCGUAAAGGGCGCGUAGGCGGACAGCUUAGUCAGAGGUGAAAGCCCAGGGCUCAACCUUGGAAUUGCCUUUGAUACUGGCUGUCUUGAGUUUGGGAGAGGUGAGUGGAACUCCGAGUGUAGAGGUGAAAUUCGUAGAUAUUCGGAAGAACACCAGUGGCGAAGGCGACUCACUGGCCCAAUACUGACGCUGAGGCGCGAAAGCGUGGGGAGCAAACAGGAUUAGAAACCCCGGUAGUCC
rnacentral:rRNA from 1 species